UGAACCGGUCUGAUUGGGUUUUGGCCACGACUCUGGUCUAAUAACGCAAGAAACCAGGUUUCAUGCUUUGGCUCGCCUUAGACCUCUGUCGGACCGGCAAAACUAAAAACCCAUAAAACCAUUCUAAAUUUCUAAUUCUACAACUUCAUUCGUCUUCGUUCAUCUACGGUCUUCAUUCUUCUCCUCGUCAUGCCAAAUUAUCGAUCGACUAGCUUAGGGUGCUACACUCCAUCUGUCUUCCUCUGUCGGCCAUAUAAGAACAAAUCGGCGAAGAAGUUAGACGACUUGGCUGCCACGUGAAGAUCCAUAAAAAGAUUCUCCAGUUGCAUCUAGAAUUCCAUUGUCAGGAGCAUACCUCCAGAUUUUGGGGCCUCAAAUCCUGAAUUUCAAGAUCCAAUUGUCGUGAUGUUGGGGGUGGAGGAGAAAUGGUGCGUGGUGACAGGCAGGAUGGGAUUCCCCGUUCGCUAUUUGGUGAAAAUGUGUAUCAAAUAUGUUAUGCCUAAAAAUCCAGGGCUGACGUAAGCCCACAUCAGCAAGCAUCAAUCAAAGUUUAGGAAGGCUUUGCGCCGUCCAAGAGCUGACACGUCGCCCCAAGACAAAAAGAAUACGGCUGUCACCAAGCCAGCAGAUUCAGGUUUUGUCUAUGAGUGAAUGAGGACCACACACCUGUCCAAACCCCAAAUAAUUUUAGAAUAUCUCCUAAGUGAUCAAUCAAUGAGAUGCAAGGUAUGACUUACACGACACCUACCCACUUGUAGACUUGUAAUCAUCACCUCGAAUUCAAUAGCUAUAAAUAGAGGACUUCCCCCCUCGCAAAAUCGGGAUCUCUGAUUUUCAUAAUCUAAAAUAGCAAAGACAACCCACGGGAAAGAGACUGGCUUAAUAUUCUUUUUGAAUACACAGUCCUUGUA